rnacentral:piRNA from 1 species
UGUUUUGUCUUUCGGAAGCUU